GCGGGAGCGCCGACGCAGGAGAGUCGGGACCGGCUGUAAACCGGUUGCUUCGCUGAGCGGGUUCGAAUCCCGCCUCCCGCA
rnacentral:tRNA from 1 species